CGGAGGAAAAGAAACCAACAGGGAUUGCCUCAGUAGCGGCGAGUGAAGCGGCAAAAGCUCAAAUUUGAAAUCUGGCGUCUUUGGCGUCCGAGUUGUAAUUUGAAGAAGGUAUCUUUGGGCCCGGCUCUUGUCUAUGUUCCUUGGAACAGGACGUCACAGAGGGUGAGAAUCCCGUGCGAUGAGAUGACCCGGGUCUGUGUAAAGUUCCUUCGACGAGUCGAGUUGUUUGGGAAUGCAGCUCUAAGUGGGUGGUAAAUUCCAUCUAAAGCUAAAUAUUGGCGAGAGACCGAUAGCGAACAAGUACAGUGAUGGAAAGAUGAAAAGAACUUUGAAAAGAGAGUGAAAAAGUACGUGAAAUUGUUGAAAGGGAAGGGCUUGAGAUCAGACUUGGUAUUUUGCAUGCUGCUCUCUCGGGGGCGGCCGCUGCGGUUUACCGGGCCAGCAUCGGUUUGGAGCGGCAGGAUAAUGGCGGAGGAAUGUGGCACGGCUUCUGCUGUGUGUUAUAGCCUCUGACGAUACUGCCAGCCUAGACCGAGGACUG
rnacentral:rRNA from 1 species